GUGCUAUUACAAAAUUAAUGCUAUGAAAAGGCUUGCGCUUAUUCACUCUGUACAGGUCAGCAGAUCCAGCAACAUGAGUUGCAAAACUCCCUUUCAUACCAGAAUCACCCUUAAUAAAUCUUCUCAAGUCAUCACGGUACUUCCCAUUCCACUCAGCCCACCUGUCCCAGUUAGGAAAUUUUCCAACCAGAUAAAGGCCUCCACAAUCCCAAGGUUCUGCAAUAAUUUUACACCUUGAUAGGAUAGGGUCUUUGGCAAUUGCCCUAAUAACUGGGGGAGCACUAAGUGGAGUGCCAUCAAUUCCACGACAAAGUACGCUGGCCAGGUCAAAUCGAAAUCCAUCCACAUGGUAUUCAGUGACCCAGUGUCUUAGGCUCUCUAGGAUGAGCUCCAUGACCACAGGAUGAUUACAGUUUAAAGUGUUCCCACAUCCAGAAAAGUUAAGCAACUGGCCUUUAUUUGGGUCCAACAUGUAAUAAACCUUAUUAUCUAUGCCACGGAAUGAAGUGGUAUAAGGAUUUUGGUCGUCUACCUCAUUUGUGUGAUUAUAGACGACAUCCAAAAUAACCUCAAUGCCAGCACCAUGCAAGGCGUUGACCAUUUCCUUAAAUUCUCGAGAUGCAUUACAAGGUCCUCCACCACCACUAGCAUAUCGACUCAUAGGAGCAAAGAAAUUUAUUGUUGAAUAGCCCCAUGUAUUGAUCAUGUGAUCUCUGGGGUUUGGGCGUCUCUGAAACUCAAAUUCAUCAAAUUCAAACACAGGCAGCAACUCCACUGCAUUGACACCCAGCUCUAGAAGAUGCGGAAUCUUUUNGCUAAGCUAGUUGAAGGUCGCCGUAUUUUUGGAUCUAAGCCACUAGAUUCAUCAGCUGUAAAUGCACGAACAUUCAUUUCAUAUAUCACAAGAUCUUUCUCUGGUAU
rnacentral:misc_RNA from 1 species